rnacentral:snRNA from 7 species
GUACCUCCACUGGGGAAACACCAUGAUAAAAACAGUGGUUUUUCCCACCGUGAGUGUCACUCCUUACAUGGAGCUGUGCUGACCCCUGUGAUUCACCCAAAGAUGGGAAGCUCAGCUGUGUAAUCUGUGGUCACAGAGGAUUAUCUGG